rnacentral:rRNA from 1 species
GACGAACGCUGGCGGCGUGCUAAACACAUGCAAGUCGAACGGAAAGGCCCUGCUUUUGUGGGGUGCUCGAGUGGCGAACGGGUGAGUAACACGUGAGUAACCUGCCCUUGACUUUGGGAUAACUUCAGGAAACUGGGGCUAAUACCGGAUAGGAGCUCCUGCUGCAUGGUGGGGGUUGGAAAGUUUCGGCGGUUGGGGAUGGACUCGCGGCUUAUCAGCUUGUUGGUGGGGUAGUGGCUUACCAAGGCUUUGACGGGUAGCCGGCCUGAGAGGGUGACCGGCCACAUUGGGACUGAGAUACGGCCCAGACUCCUACGGGAGGCAGCAGUGGGGAAUAUUGCACAAUGGGCGGAAGCCUGAUGCAGCAACGCCGCGUGCGGGAUGACGGCCUUCGGGUUGUAAACCGCUUUCGCCUGUGACGAAGCGUGAGUGACGGUAAUGGGUAAAGAAGCACUGGCUAACUACGUG